rnacentral:rRNA from 1 species
CACGUAGUUAGCCGGAGCUUUCUUGCAGGGUACCGUCAUUUUCGUCCCCUGCGACAGAACUUUACAACCCGAAGGCCGUCUUCAUUCACGCGGCAUCGCUGCAUCAGGGUUUCCCCCAUUGUGCAAUAUCCCCCACUGCUGCCUCCCGUAGGAGUCUGGGCCGUGUCUCAGUCCCAAUGUGGCCGUUCAACCCCUCAGUCCGGCUACCGAUUGUCGGUUUGGUGGGCCGUUACCCCGCCAACUGCCUAAUCGGACGCGAGCCCAUCUUUCAGCGGAUUGCUCCUUUGAUAUCAGUGCCAUGCGACUCCGAUAUUUUAUGCGGUAUUAGCGUUCGUUUCCAAACGUUAUCCCCCUCUGAAAGGCAGGUUGCCCACGUGUUACUCACCCGUCCGCCACUAAGUUCAGAUGCGAGCAUCUUCACUCCGUUCGACUUGCAUGUGUUAGGCGUGCCGCCAGCGUUGUCCUGAGCCAGGAUCAAACUCUA